rnacentral:rRNA from 1 species
GACGAAGGUGACGACCGUUGCUCGGAAUCACUGGGCAUAAAGCGCGCGUAGGUGGCUUGGUAAGUCCAUGGUGAAAUCCCUCGGCUCAACCGGGAUAGGUCUUCGGAUACUGGCGGACUUGAGGAGUACAGAGGUGAGUGGAAUUCUGGGUGUAGUGGUGAAAUGCGUAGAUAUCCAGAGGAACACCAGCGGCGAAGGCGGCUCACUGGGUACCACCUGACGCUGAGGCGCGAAAGCGUGGGGAGCGAACAGG